ensembl:lncRNA
GGGGAAACCACGUGGGGGGAAGGGCUGCGUGGGAGGGGGCCCCUGACUGUUCCUGGGUUCCCCACACUUGAAACAACCGGAGCGACCCGCGGGCACACGGCAACGCGGACGUGGGCCGCCCCGCGAUGGAGCGUUACUCAGCCGUGAACGGGAGCGGUCGCCGCGCUGCGGGGACGAGGCGGCGCGGGAACCUGAGGCUCCGAGGUGGGAGCGGAUACAGGGGCCGCAUGCAGGCGGUUCUGCCUCCGGAAGCAUCUGGAACAGGCACGGCCACGAGUCAGGGGGAAUGGAUCGCUGGGGCCCGGGGAGGGGGCGGAGGUGAGCGUCCUCCCGGGUGACGGAAAUGUUCUAAAAAUGGGCAGAGGUGACGGUGGCGCGGCUCUGUGAUGUGCUGGAAGCUGAAGGCCCGGCCCAGAGAGAUCCCCAGGUCGCUGCCGGCCCCACGCCCCAGCCUCGGCAGCCUGACCCUCCCCAGGAACCCUGGGGCAACUCACACCCUCGGGGCACCGAGAACCCCGAGAUGCGUCCCCGGAUUCCUCGCUGCGCCCACCCCCGGGGGCCAAGUGCUGGAGCUCACAGCCCCGCCAGGAGGGGACCCUCAGACCCAGGGGACUCGGGGCCACCCCAGGACCUGGCGACACCUGCAGGACGAGCCGGGCAGCCCCGGACGUGCAGACAGGGCACGUGUUCUAUCUUUACGGAUCAGGGGCCAUUUGCACCGCCCCCAGCUGUGGCAGAGGUAGGGAGCCCGCCCACCCCUGCACCCUCAGGAGGGGCCUGGGGCAGCGGGUGAGGUGCCCACACACCCCAGCCACCACCCGGCAGGCAGAGCCGGGACCCCAACGGUGUUUCCAUGAUUUACUGUGAGGCGGGCCCGCUUGCUUACCAUUCCCUUCGGUCCACCUAAUGCCGCUUCCCUGCCCUGCUGCUUGGCAGUUCCGGGGUGGGGGGCUGCCACACCAAGCCCACCAGCCCGCCCAGCCGGGGGAUGCCGGCCGCCCUGGCAGGAAUUUCCCAUGAUCGCCGACUCGGCCUCGGAGGGCUAACCCUGGUAAGCGGGAGGCUCUUGAAGGAGAUGCUGCGGGACGCGGGACCUGGCCCCGAGGAGAGCUGGGCCCUGGAAGCUGCGGCCCGUGCAUGGGCAGCGGGGGGACUCCAGCCUAAAGUGGGGGCUUCCAGAACCCUCCUGCAUCCUCAGUGGGCAAGCACCAGUCCUGGCUAAGUCCCGGGUGGAGUCUAUGGGCUCCCAUCCCCCCCCACGCGCUGCCCCCGCCUGGGGACGGCCCCGUGGGACCAGCCAGGGGCGCGGAGUUGGGAGGUGGGAUGGAGGCUGGCCAGGGGAGGCCUCAUAGCAGGUGUGGUGGGGAGAGCGGGGUGUUGGACUAGCGCCCCCGGGGUUCCCGGCUGCUGGAUUGACCCUGCGUUCAGUCAGUGCACCAGUCCCUCCGGGACCAUCCCUCAAAAGCCGUACUGUGGCCACCGUGCAGCAUGAAGGGGCAGCCCUGCUUCCCCAGCCUCAGGAAGGGAGCCCAC